CUGCUGCCUCCCGUAGGAGUUUGGACCGUGUCUCAGUUCCAAUGUGGGGGACCUUCCUCUCAGAACCCCUACGCAUCGUCGGCUUGGUGGGCCGUUGCCCCACCAACUACCUAAUGCGCCGCAUGUCCAUCCGUGACCGGGGUCGCCCCCUUUGGCCGGCAGGGGAUGUCCCCUCCCGGCAUUAUGUUGUAUUAGGCGGGAUUUCUCCCGGUUAUCCAUCUGUCACGGCCAGGUUGCAUACGUGUUACUCACCCGUGCGCCGGUCGCCGGCGG
rnacentral:rRNA from 1 species